AGCCACUCAGGGAUAUGGUGUGCAGCUGCUGAGCCUCAGAGCCAACCUCCAAGAGUCCUGGCAUGGAUUUUAGUGGGAUUUACUGCACUGAAAUACAGAAAAUCUUGUUGCCUUUAGGAUUAGCCUCUUCAUUUACACAUACAGUAGUGCAUGCUGUCUGGGUCCACUGCCUUGCACAUGGUGCUUAGUCCUUCAAUUACCACCAAAAGAACUGCUCACAGGACACCCACAAUUUUAAUUCCUUCUAUCAGCAGUCAUUGCAGUGGGGCAGCUUCCAACUGUUACUGGAGCAAGGACCAUCAGGAAUUUCAUCACAGUCAACCUAACUCAGAUUAAUUUAUACUCAUUAUGAAUGAUCCCGGGUCAUCAAAUACAGAUUAGUGAUACUGCAGUACAGGAGUUUUACAGUGCUCUUUGAACUAAAAUGUAGUUAUUUCAUUAGAAAUGUUCUAAGUUUCCAUUACAAAUGGUAAAUAACAAGGCUGGAGCAAGGGGGACUGAGGAAAGGCUGCCCAGGCAGGAGCAAUGCAGCCCUCAGCCUCCAUGGCCCCCAGAGCCUGCUCAGGGGGCACAGCUGCACUGCAGGGUAGCAUCCCACAAGAAUAACAGAUAAACACACUCACUUCACAAGCCACUGGGCACUAUAUUUCUUCUGAUGAGAACCAUCCAUUAUUCUUCCAUCCUCCUCUGUGUGUCACAUUAGUGAGCGGUUUUACAAAGCAAGUCAGGGGACAGCUUUAUUUACUCCCAGCCGCACUGCAUGGCACCCAGCUCCAGCGGUAUUGGUUACACAUGACCUCAGGUCUUCCAUUAUGGGCUAAUGUCUGCAGCCCUCUGACCUCCGGAAGUGCUUGAGGAAGAGCUGCAGUAAAUCAGAGCAGCACUUAGAGAUGGAAGAAGAAAGUCCCUCCUUAUCAAUCUGCCAGUGGGAGAGGAAGGACUCUGGCUGGGCUGCUGCAGGGUGAUGUGCACGCAGCUGCUCGGAAAACUCCACAGACAGAAGCAGCCCUUGCAUUGCACAUUGCCACCAUGGACUGUAGGAGUGAAGCAGAGCAACAUAAACCUGGCUGUUUUCCUCUCUCAGCCUGGACUGGCAGGGGCAAUCCCAGCCACUCGCUUCACAGGGCAGGUCCUGUCUGUGAACAUCCCUGCUUGGCAUGCACAGACCCUUCAACUGCUUCCCCUUGCAGGAUGCCUGGUCUCACACACUGACUCCAUGGUAAAGCGAGGGCCAACCCAACCCUAAUCCUAACCCUGCACAAAGGUCUAUAAUCAAUCCUUACCACUCAGCUUCUUACCAGAGGACAUGAGCAGUCUGUGCAGUCUCAGCUAAUUCAUCAUAAUGGAGUUAACCCAAGGAUGCUAUUAAACACCCUGUGUGGCAGAGUAUGAGAAAUUACAGGUGGAAGUAAUAAUUUAACCACAAAACACCACACUUGCAAGUCAUCAUCAGUACAAGCAGUUCUUCCCGUGAGAGUGGAAACAGGCAAAUUUGCCACAUCCUGUGCCGACAGGUGGAGCCCCAGAAGGACACAGAGUGGGGAGAGCAUUAGGGAACAAAGCUCCUAUCUCUGCUGGUCCUGCAAUUAGUAGGAGAUUUCAAAACUAGUAACAAGCAGCUAUCGGGGAGGCCCAAAGAACACUGGGAUGGGACUAGGUACUUCUCUGUUCUGGAUGGGCCUUGAAGGGGAGAGGAUGAAGAUCUGCCAAUGAAAUGCAUAACUUAUCCCUUACAAUCAAGGCAAGAGGACCUUAGAGAACAAAAAAAUCAAGGUGUCAAUAUCACUUUCCCUUCCCAUUUAUCUCCUACACAGUUCAAGUCUUCAUCUCUUUCUCAGAGUGCCUGGCUCAGUCAGAGCUCUCUAUCCCAAAGACAAUCCUAUACCUCAUACAGUUUGGUUUUUUUAAUUUUAAUUUUGCUGUCCAAGAAACAAAUGAAAAAGCAGCUGAUGAGCUUGAUCAGAUCUGGAGAAGGCUUGAGGAUCCAACAUCCCAUCUCCAUCCUUCACUCCGAGAGCAAGAAUACUACCCAACAUAAAAAGCAAGGGAAGAAAAGGGAACAAAAGGAUUUUUAAUGUAAUCAAAUGUGUCAUAUGUCUAAAAAGUAUUCUGCUAUAACAAACACUGCAAUUUUACUCUCCCAUAACUGUUUCUUGGCUCCUUUUACACAUUCCAGUACAGCAGCAUCACAGAUUCACUAUAGGAAGGACUUAGUCCCUCAGCUGAUGUAGGUCACUGCCAGACCAGCAUUAUCCUCUUUGUAUGAGGACUGGCUCUUUAGGGAAAGGCAGGGUGUAACAUCUAGCAAAAGGAAAGGCUUCGCCCUUAGGAUAUAGGAAAUACUAUCAGAAAGAACUCUUUUUUCUGGCCAAGAUUAAGAUCCAUACAAGAUUCUCCAAGGGUGGGGAAUCACCUCCUAAUGACAACUCAUUAGGUCACCUGGAGGGGUUUUUUAUGGUUUAUGUGCUUUGGGGUUUUUGUAUUCUAUUGCAAAAGGAAGUUUACAGUGGAGAGGUUUUUGCUCAGCUACAAUUAGAGACGGGCGCAGACCAAAACCUCCUAGUUACAGAAUCCCAGAUCUUGGAAAUGCCCACACUUCCAAGUUCAGAACAAAUUUUCCACUACAUAAGGACCAGUAAUUGGGGUUUUUAACAUGUAAAUAUUAAAACUAACCAGCAACACAAACACAGAGAUUGCAGAAGGAACAGCAUGUUUCCAUACAAACAAUGCAACAAAGAUUUUUUUAAAGAAUCAGCAGCACCCACUGGGAUCCUGGGAGCCUGGAUUCAUGAAGACAGCAAAUGUGACACCCCUUUUUUCCUCACCUCAAUAACUAUCUGCUUGCUGUUUACUUGGUGUUUCAGAAGUACUAAGCCACAAGAUCCUGUCUUGUCAAUUCUGUCACAUUUCAUGUGACAGCUGUCCCUCUUCCACAUUAUGAUAACGACUUUGAAAUUCAUUUGGCAUUUCAGCUCCCUUCCUGCUUCUCUCAACAGCUACACAAAUGAUGUCAACACAUACAGAACAAUAGCGAAUCGUGAGCUGAUAAGCACAAAGUGCACAGGAGCCUGUUUUCACAGCGUGAUCACCAAAAAGAUUUUAAUGCACACAUUAAAAAAAUGUAUAGAAUCACCAUUUCUCAUGGAAAUAAGGGAGCCAGAAUUUAUUGCUCUGUUCAUGUUGAAGGUCCCAGGUGUUGCUAAGCACUGAUGUAGAUGGAUCUUGCAAAACAGAAAGCUAAGCUAGGCAGACCCGAGCUGUCUCAAAGACAAAACUGAACUGUCCCACAUGCGUGUCUCAGUUGUCACAGUCACCAGGGCCAUUACCUUCUGCUACACUUGAAGGAAGGAGCAGGACCACAGCCCAGCUCCCCACACCAAAUACACAUUAUGUGACACUUACAUACAUUUACGCAGCCUAGCUUCCCAAACCAAAUACACAUUAUAUGACAUUUACACUACAAGCCAAAGUUUCUCAAAGACAUACACUACCAAAUGAAUGCGUAAUGAUAGCUUAUCACAGUCCUAUACUUUCUCUACAAAUGUAGCUAGGAUAAAACACAACACAUUGGGUUCUUCAGAGGUUUCUCUUUUCGUACUUACUUCAUCUUUUUCAGUGCCUAAGUUGAUUCAAAUAUUUCUCUAACAAAAAGAAAGAAAAAAAAAA
ensembl:lncRNA